rnacentral:rRNA from 1 species
AUUGAACGCUGGCGGCAGGCCUAACACAUGCAAGUCGAGCGGAUGAAGGGAGCUUGCUCCUGGAUUCGGCGGCGGACGGGUGAGUAAUGCCUAGGAAUCUGCCUGGUAGUGGGGGAUAACGUCCGGAAACGGGCGCUAAUACCGCAUACGUCCUGAGGGAGAAAGUGGGGGAUCUUUGGACCUCACGCUAUCAGAUGAGCCUAGGUCGGAUUAGCUAGUUGGUGGGGUAAAGGCCUACCAAGGCGACGAUCCGUAACUGGUCUGAGAGGAUGAUCAGUCACACUGGAACUGAGACGCGGUCCAGACUCCUACGGGAGGCAGCAGUGGGGAAUAUUGGACAAUGGGCGAAAGCCUGAUCCAGCCAUGCCGCGUGUGUGAAGAAGGUCUUCGGAUUGUAAAGCACUUUAAGUUGGGAGGAAGGGCAGUAAGUUAAUACCUUGCUGUUUUGACGUUACCAACAGAAUAAGCACCGGCUAACUUCGUG